GAUGAACGCUGGCGGCGUGCCUAACACAUGCAAGUCGAGCGAACAGACGAGGAUUUUGCUCCUGUUACGUUAGCGGCGGACGGGUGAGUAACACGUGGAUAACCUACCUAUAAGACUGGGAUAACUUCGGGAAACCGGAGCACAUACCGGAUAAUAUAUCGAACCGGAGGGUUCAGUAGUGAAAGACGGUUUUGCGGUCACCUAUAGAUGGAUCCGCGCCGCAUUAGCUAGUUGGUAAGGUAAGGGGUUACCAAGGGAACGACGCGUAGCCGACCGGAGAGGGGGGUCGCCCACCCGGGAAGGGAGCCACGGUCCCGACUCCUGCGGGAGGCAGCAGUAGGGAAUCUUCCGCAAUGGGCGAGAGCCUUACGGAGCACCGCCGCGUGAGUGAUGACGGUCUUCCGAUCGGAAAACUCUGUUAUUAGUGGAGAACAAAUGUGUAAGUAGCUAUGCACAUCGUGACGGUACCUGAUCAGAAAGCCACGGCUAACUACGUG
rnacentral:rRNA from 1 species